CCUACGGGUGGCAGCAGUGGGGAAUAUUGGACAAUGGGGGGAACCCUGAUCCAGCCAUGCCGCGUGUGUGAAGAAGGCCCUCGGGUUGUAAAGCACUUUCAGUGAGGAAGAACGCCUGGUGGUUAAUACCCAACAGGAAAGACAUCACUCACAGAAGAAGCACCGGCUAACUCCGUGCCAGCAGCCGCGGUAAUACGGAGGGUGCGAGCGUUAAUCGGAAUUACUGGGCGUAAAGCGCGCGUAGGUGGCUUGAUAAGCCGGUUGUGAAAGCCCCGGGCUCAACCUGGGAACGGCAUCCGGAACUGUCAAGCUAGAGUGCAGGAGAGGAAGGUAGAAUUCCCGGUGUAGCGGUGAAAUGCGUAGAGAUCGGGAGGAAUACCAGUGGCGAAGGCGGCCUUCUGGACUGACACUGACACUGAGGUGCGAAAGCGUGGGUAGCAAACAGGAUUAGAUACCCCGGUAGUC
rnacentral:rRNA from 1 species